rnacentral:lncRNA from 1 species
CCAUCGUCCCUGCCGAACCAUCGCCAACCAUCAAGUUCUCCAGUCUUCCGCUCGCGCAGAUACAGAACGCCGGAUGCCCGCGCCAUUCGCCUUGCCCGGGCCCGGCGCUUGAGCUCGCAGCGGCUGGCAUGGCGGCCAUGGUUCGCAACUCGCAUUCGUCUUCCCUGCAACGUGCGCAGCUACGAACGCGAGGUUAGUGGGUC